CAGCCGCCGCGGGAAUACGAAGGGGGCUAGCGUUGUUCGGAAUCACUGGGCGUGAAGCGCACGUAGGCGGACUUUUAAGUCAGGGGUGAAAUCCCAAGGCUCAACCUUGGAACUGCCUUUGAUACUGGAAGUCUUGAGUUCGGGAGAGGUGAGUGGAACUGCGAGUGUAGAGGUGAAAUUCGUAGAUAUUCGCAAGAACACCAGUGGCGAAGGCGGCUCACUGGCCCGAUACUGACGCUGAGGUGCGAAAGCGUGGGGAGCAAACAGGAUUAGAUACCCCAGUAGUCCCUGUCUCUUAUAA
rnacentral:rRNA from 1 species